CCUCUCGCCAGCACUUGGAACACAGGCCCUGCCAAGCUGUGUUGCCAUAAAAACCACAUCCUUUGGUACAAAGCAGAUCGGACUGGUCCAGAUGGAUCCGACGACGUUCAGACCGCUGGGCCAUCAUUCUUCAAACACAACUAAAAACGAAAACAUCAGGUUUUGCUGACAAUGUAUCCGAAGAAGUCCUCAAUCAACUUCUGUACCAUCUUCUCGAGGAUGACAUCUUAAAUGAUGGCGAGGUACAGCACAUAAUUCAGGCGAACAUGA